UACGGGGGGGGCAAGCGUUGUUCGGAAUUACUGGGCGUAAAGGGCUCGUAGGCGGCCAACUAAGUCGGAUGUGAAAUCCCCCGGCUCAACCGGGGAACGGCGGGGCAUACUGGCGGUCUUGGGCCACCUAGGGGUCAUCGGAACAGGCGGUGGAGCGGUGAAAUGCGUAGAUAUCGCCUGGAACGCCGACGGUGAAAACAGAUGACUGGGGGUGUGCCGACGCUGAGACGCGAAAGCCAGGGGAGCGAACGGG
rnacentral:rRNA from 1 species